AGUGAACGCUGGCGGUAGGCCUAACACAUGCAAGUCGAACGGCGGCACAGUAAGAGCUUGCUCUUACGGGUGGCGAGUGGCGGACGGGUGAGGGAUACAUCGGAAUCUACUUUUUCGUGGGGGAUAACGUAGGGAAACUUACGCUAAUACCGCAUACGACCUACGGGUGAAAGCAGGGGAUCUUCGGACCUUGCGCGAUUGAAUGAGCCGAUAUCGGAUUAGCUAGUUGGCGGGGUAAAGGCCCACCAAGGCGACGAUCCGUAGCUGGUCUGAGAGGAUGAUCAGCCACACUGGAACUGAGACACGGUCCAGACUCCUACGGGAGGCAGCAGUGGGGAAUAUUGGACAAUGGGCGCAAGCCUGAUCCAGCCAUACCGCGUGGGUGAAGAAGGCCUUCGGGUUGUAAAGCCCUUUUGUUGGGAAAGAAAAGCAGCAGGUUAAUACCCCGCUGUUCUGACGGUACCCAAAGAAUAAGCACCGGCUAACUUCGUG
rnacentral:rRNA from 1 species